GACGAAGGUGGCAAGCGUUGUUCGGAAUCACUGGGCUUAAAGAGCACGUAGGCGGACCGUCAAGCGUCCCGUGAAAUCCCCCGGCUCAACCGAGGAAUGGCUGGGCGAACUGACGGUCUUGAGGCAGGUAGGGGCGCGUAGAACUCUUGGUGGAGCGGUGGAAUGCGUAGAUAUCAAGAGGAAUGCCGGCGGCGAAGGCGACGCGCUGGGCCUGACCUGACGCUGAGGUGCGAAAGCCAGGGGAGCGAACGGGAUUAGAUACCCCCGUA
rnacentral:rRNA from 1 species